UACAGAGGUCUCAAGCGUUGUUCGGAUUCAUUGGGCGUAAAGGGUGCGUAGGCGGCGCGGUAAGUCGGGUGUGAAAUCUCGGAGCUUAACUCCGAAACUGCAUUCGAUACUGCCGUGCUUGAGGACUGGAGAGGAGACUGGAAUUUACGGUGUAGCGGUGAAAUGCGUAGAUAUCGGGAAGAACACCCGUGGCGAAGGCGGUUCUCUGGGACGGUACUGACGCUGAGACGCGAAAGCGUGGGGAGCGAACAGG
rnacentral:rRNA from 1 species